CAGAUCAGGCCUAACACAUGCAAGUCGAGCGGAAACGAUGGUAGCUCGCUACCAGGCGUCGAGCGGCGGACGGGUGAGUAAUACUUAGGAAUCUACCUAGUAGUGGGGGAUAGCACGGGGAAACUCGUAUUAAUACCGCAUACGAGCCUACGGGAGAAAGGGGGCCAAGUUUACUGCUCUCGCUAUUAGAUGAGCCUUAAGUCGGAUUAGCUAAGAUGGUGGGGUAAAGGCCUACCAUGGCGACGAUCUGUAGCUGGUUCUGAGAGGAUGAUCAGCCACACCGGGACUGAGACACGGCCCGGACUCCUACGGGAGGCAGCAGUGGGGAAUAUUGGACAAUGGGGGAAACCCUGAUCCCAGCCAUGCCGCGUGUGUGAAGAAGGCCUUUUGGGUUGUAAAGCACUUUAAGCAGUGAAGAAGACUCUUCGGGUUAAUACCCGGAGACGAUGACAUUAGCUGCAGAAUAAGCACCGGCUAACUCUGUGCCAGCAGCCGCGGUAAUACAGAGGGUGCAAGCGUUAAUCGGAAUUACUGGGCGUAAAGCGAGCGUAGGUGGCUUGAUAAGUCAGAUGUGAAAUCCCCGGGCUUAACCUGGGAACUGCAUCUGAAACUGUUAGACUAGAGUAGGUGAGAGGGAAGUAGAACUUCAGGUGUAGCGGUGAAAUGCGUAGAGAUCUGAAGGAAUACCGAUGGCGAAGGCAGCUUCCUGGCAUCAUACUGACACUGAGGCUCGAAAGCGUGGGUAGCAAACAGGAUUAGAUACCCUGGUAGUCCACGCCGUAAACGAUGUCUACUAGUCGUUGGGUCCCUUGAGGACUUAGUGACGCAGCUAACGCAAUAAGUAGACCGCCUGGGGAGUACGGCCGCAAGGUUAAAACUCAAAUGAAUUGACGGGGGCCCGCACAAGCGGUGGAGCAUGUGGUUUAAUUCGAUGCAACGCGAAGAACCUUACCUGGUCCUGACAUAUCUAGAAUCCUGCAGAGAUGCGGGAG
rnacentral:rRNA from 1 species